GCUCGUGUAGCUCAGUGGUUAGAGCUUCGUGCUUAUAGCAACAUUCGGUUUCCGAAGUUUCUGUGCCAAAGACCUUUCAAACAGGCCUUUAAAAAGCAACGCGACCGUCGUGGGUUCAAACCCCACCUCGAGCA
rnacentral:tRNA from 1 species